rnacentral:rRNA from 1 species
GUCCUUUAGAAUAGAAUUUAAGGUUUAACCUGCCCAUUGAUUAAUUUUUAACGGCCGCAGUAAAUUGACUGUGCAAAGGUAGCAUAAUCAUUAGUUUUUUAAUUGAAAGCUUGUAUGAAUGGUUGGACGAGAUAUAAACUGUUUCUAUUUUAUAAUUAAAAUUUAAUUUUUAAGUUAAAAAGCUUAAAUAAUAUUAAAAGACGAGAAGACCCUAUAGAUCUUUAUAAAUAUUUUUUUUUAUUUUUUAAGGAUUAUUAAUUUAUAUAAAAUUUUAUUUAUUUUAUUGGGGUAAUAAAAAGAUUAAAUAAAUUCUUUUUUUUUAUUAUAUUGAUUAAUAUUUAUUAGAUCCAAUUAUUUUGAUUAAAAGUUUAAGUUACCUUAGGGAUAACAGCGUAAUUUUUUUUGAGAGUUCAUAUCGAUAAAAAAGUUUGCGACCUCGAUGUUGGAUUAAAAUUUAUUUUAGGUGUAGAAGUUUAAAUAUUUAGUCUGUUCGACUAUUGAAAUUUU